UACAGAGGGGGCAAGCGUUAUUCGGAAUUAUUGGGCGUAAAGGGCGCGUAGGCGGCCUGGCAAGUGGAAGGUGAAAUCCCUCGGCUUAACCGAGGAACUGCCCUCCAAACUGCUUGGCUUGAGACCGGGAGAGGUGAGUGGAAUUCCCAGUGUAGCGGUGAAAUGCGUAGAUAUUGGGAGGAACACCAGUGGCGAAGGCGGCUCACUGGACCGGUACUGACGCUGAUGCGCGAAAGCGUGGGGAGCAGACAGG
rnacentral:rRNA from 1 species